ensembl:lncRNA
AUACAACUCUACAUGGUACAUUGUUUCAUGGUAACUAAGACCAUUGCAUAUAUGCUCGGGUGUAGUGCUCUGUGGGUCAUAGCAUGCCAAAUUCUUCAAGAGAGAUAACAGUCCAGUGUAAACAAAGCAAAUAUGUACCUGAAAUCUUUAUGAAUUGCAAUAAUUUAAUAGAAAAAAAGAAUUAAAAAGUGUUUACAGAAAAGUUUGUUAAAUGUGCGAGACGUUCCUGAAAUGUAAAUCAUGGUCGUUUCUGGUAAAAAAUUGUGUGAUUGAAUGAGUAUUGUUUGAACAUCCUUCCAAAACAUUGCGUCACAGUGAGCAAAAUGUUACUAAAGGCAAAAUUGUGCUAAUGUCUGUAAUGUUUCUUGGCCAUCAGUUUAAUGUCUGUGACAUUGGAUACUGCCUGAACUAUCUAGCAAAGAUGAGCGUGUUAACAAUAAUUUAAACUAUAAGAAAACAAAAACACAAUUUAAAUGUCAUAAUCCUUAACAUUUUCUUAGGGAUUGUCCUCACUGGUUCAGCUCAGAGGUAGACAGGCAGUGAUGGCCAUGCUGUGCAGUUACACUGUUCUCUACAUUCAAACCAGAUUAGAAUAGAAAAGCUGAUCCUGUAAAGCCAAGAGUAUCGUGUUUUAUACAUGGGUUUGUGGGACCCCUACUUAGUAUAAUUUUUCCUGAAAAGCCUGAUGUAUACAGUCAGAUGUAGCAGAAUUUAUGCAAAUCAAUGCUCAUAUAUGUAAACUGAUAUUUCAUUUAUUUAUUUAUUUUUUAUUGGUCAGAAGGCUCAGUAAACAUCCCAGUUUCAAAAAAACAUUUCAUGGUUCAGGCUUCACUUGGUUAAAAGUAAAUACUUCUUUUGGAUAUAAGCUCAGUGGGACUGUAUUAGAAAGCCUGGAGACCCUCUGCUAAGUGACAGCACAACUGUCAAGACACACAAAUAACUAUAAAAACCACCACUUUUUUUAUUGCACCUUAAAGAACGUAGAAAUUUCAAGCAGAAAGCACUGUGCAGAAAGUUUUUCAUCGAAACAGAAAUCCAAAUGUAGACAUAGGCAUAAAGCAUCUCUCAGGCCAAUUCACAUUUUCCAUCAGUCACCUCCUGCGCUAGAAUAGGACAAGCCUAUAAUCAAUUAGUAGUUUUCUCUUCAUGUGUCUGUCAAUUAGCCCAGCCAGCGAUCAGUGAUAUGACUGCUUUAUUAACUGAGUCUGCUGUCCUCGUCCUUUCCUUACUUACGACUAGUAACCUAAUAACAACACUUUAACAUGACAUUUAUUGGACAGAUGCAGAAAAAAAACAACCUUGUCAACAUAAUUCAAAAAAUAUGCCCCCUCAUUUUACUGUUAGCCUGUGGAUUCUAAUGUCAAGAAAAGCCCUCCAAAAGCCUUAAAUGGAGCUUCAUUAGAUUUUCGUUCAGCAGUAAAGGAAAAUGCUAAUCAGCACCAAACAAAGCAGAAAUGAUCUUUAGUCACAGAUUCUCAGAAGUUAACAUUUGUAAGACUGCAGUGCACUCAACAUCUUUGGGUAUUUUUCAGAGCAAGUCAGUUGCCAAAAGCAAUGUGAACAUGUUACCCUGGGCAACCAUUGUGGUUGGUUUGUAUUAUAUAAGCUAUUUGGUUUACUGUGUUUGUCAGCACUUUGCAGUGUUGGUUGCAGUAUUUUCUGUGCAUUUGUGAGUCAUAUAAUCACUUGACUCUGAAAACAGAGAAGAAAUUUUAACAUAACAAAUAAAAAUUAUAAAAUGAUAAAAUCAUAUUUUUAUUAAUAUUAAAUUAUAAUAAUUAUAAAUUAAAGUUAAUUGGCUCGAGAUCUUGCAUCUGUGAAAAUCAGACUGAAACUUGCUUGAGUAGCAGUAGUAAAAUGAACAUUUACACUUACACAGCUCAAUGUUAAUGGAAGAAGUAAUGCGUCCUUAAUGUGUCAAACAAUAACUGGAUGUUUUCUAGAUUUUUCUUAUACAAUUUUUGUAGAAAAGCCCUUGCGCUUGCAUUUCCCUCUGUUUCUGCAAGGUCAUUUUCAUAGUGAAAAGAAGAUGAAAAUGACUGAAAAAGUUCUAUGAAGUUAACAUGCUGUGACUUUUACAACUGUUGAAAUUUAAUUUUCAAAAAAGAAGCUAAAAUAUCAGAAUUUGUUAAAAGCUGUGAUGUCCUGCAAUAAGCACAUUGUAAAACAUAUAAAUAAAUAUAAGCAAGGUGUAAGCAGAUUUACAUUAAAAACAUUUCUUCUGGUAGCUACAUGAAGGAAAUUUGUAGCAACUCCAACACUAUUACUCAGAAUCGGAAUCAUGUAUUAAUCCCAGAGGAAACUGUGUAAAAACUAACACUCUACAAUAACAAGUAAAAGACAAAGAACAGUAAAUAGCAAUAGUAAUAAUAUCCACGUGUAUCCUUCAGGCUGCUCUCACACACCAGCUAGUCUCCAUGGAUACUGACUUUAGGUAUAUUUUACAGCCUGCUGGAGCAGCUCAGGAGGGUUUCCUACUUCAUGCCUGGCUCUCUUUUCAAAGCCAUACUCUUUUGGUCUGCAAGAACAACACAUAUAAUGUUGGCGCUGGGGCUUGCUGUAAAAGUAAUUGGUUUCAUUGGAAAGUGGAUAAAUAGCUGUGGCUGGUUGUGGAGGGCGUCCUGCCGAGUUUGACCGCUCCUGGGUUAAUCGCAGUCCUCUGAGGCUGGAAGCUGUCCCAGUCGGCACUGGCCACCAGCCACUGGAAGAUCUGACUUACAUCAUAGCUGGGUUCAACUGCAGGCAAACGAAAAAGAAAAUGUCUGAUGACAACAUUUAAACCCACUGAUGAUGACAAAGUUUUUUAUUCCCUCACAUCGCUUAGAGUUCCGGAAACAUAUUCUUGGUGGACUUUUACUUUAAUAUUUCUACAUUUUAACUUGCACAGCACAGCAGUUCAUUUUCCUUUAUAACUGGAGAAACUUCUUUCACAUUACUCUUUGCAGUUUGAGUCAGUGAUUCUUGGAAUUGAUUACGAGACAAUAAAACACUGGAUUACAGUCGGUACACAUUGUAUAUAUUUCCACAGCUUCUGAUUACAUCAGUGUACACCUUGAGAUUUGAGUCUGGUUUCUGUACUCCGUGAACGUCACAGCGCAGCACAGCACAAGACUGGGGGAUUGUUUUUUUUUUUUUUUUUUUUUUACAAAAAACAAACAAACUGUGACCUAGCUAUUUACAUAUAAUUUUCUAUUUUUCCCUGAAUACUCUGCAAGUCAUUUAGAGACUAAAAACAAUUAGUUACCCCACACUCUCAGUUAUGGGUAUUUACAGUGUUGUUGCUUUAUUUCACCGCUUCUGCUUUCAAAAAUCGGCGGUACUACACUUUCACCCCCACUGCUUCCCCUUUUGAUACAGAAAGAAAUGAGCAAUGAUACUUGACAAGCUGUGGAUGAAACUGAUUUUUUUUUUUUUUUUUUUUAACUAUCACCACUACCAAUACUUUACCUCCAGUCUUUCCAAUCCGACCAAAAAAUAAGCUGCCAUUUCAGCACUAUAAACUCAUUAUUUUCUGCAUGCAGGCUUUUGUUUUUGAUUGAUUUGACGUUCGCAUAAUGCUGACUUUCUCCAUCCCAUCGGCUGACUGAAACGGCCUUUUUGUGCCACUUGACUUUCUCUCUCACACACAGCUGCAUUUGUCUUGCAAAUCCAUCCCUGCUGCGUCGCGUUCAGGCGAGGAAAAGAGAGCAGUCGGACAUCAGUGAAGUUCAAGCCAGCGAACAAGCGGAGAGGCUGUUCCAUAGCAGCAGCUUUUGUCGAUAUCAAAACGGAGAGCUGGUGAAAAAUGAUGCAUGCUUUUACACCUCUGAAUCCUGGCAACUGACAGAGUAAGGGAUGGGGUGGAGGGUCCGGGGUAUAAAAACUAAAAGAAAAAAAACCUUCCCUGGAGGCUGAAAGUGUUGGAAGCGAACAAAGAAUCUCGGACUAAACGGGCUGAGUGUCCUCUAGCGCGCGACGGGGAUCAGCAGCUCAGAAUGUAGGAGAUAGAUGGAGACGCACACGUAUAACCGGCCAUGACUGAAAUUAGCAUAUUUGUAAUUUAUCACUUUUUUGUUGAGUUAUUCGGGGAUUUUUUAAGAAAAAAAAUGUUUAAGAUAAUUUACGAUCAUUUGUCACCUCAUGUAGGCUGAGCAAUUACAGCUUUUCCUCUAGACAUCACACAGCCUCCAGCAUCCCAACUGAAUUCGGAAGACUUUUAGAUUUCUCCGAAAAUACAAGAAAUUGGUGCCUUCUUGUCCGUUUAUAAGUUUCGAUUCAUCGUCGCCAUGAAAUUUGCUUCCAAGUCAGUCCAGUCUGCUUCAUUUCCAUAUCUUUUCAAAGGAGCUUCCUUGUGAAUAGACUGUAAUAUUUCAUGAUGGGGCACGCAAAAGCUGUGCACAAUGCCGUUCAUAUCCACUCUGCUUUCAGGAGCAACAAAGAUCAUAGCAAGACGUCUUUAUGGCUAAUUCAGUCAAAGGCGCAUCUCCCGUCCUCCGGCGCGGAGGUCAGGCCGCCGUGUUCCGUCCACCAGGGGGGUUUUCAGAGGCCAGAGACGGCCAGCUGGCUCCAUCACACGCGCGCGCGCGCACACACACACACGCAUAUAUAUAUAUAUAUAUAUAUAUAUAUAUAUAUAUAUAUAUAUAUAUAUAUAUAUAUAUUGACUGGACGACAAAUGCCCAUAAAACCAAACAAGAUCGAGAUAGUUUUAGUCACAGCUGACAUUUUGGAGUACUGACUUAUAUUUCCCCCAGGGCAGGAGGUGAAAUAGUGAUAGAUUAAUAAAUACAUGUCUCGUUUUCAACAAAUGCGUGUAUCAUAUUGAGAUACCGACAGCUCCCAUCAAAAUGCGCUUUUACGCUGGUUUUGAAAAAAAUUAACACGUGCUUUUCUUCAGAUUAGACACGUGAGUUUGUAGAACAUAAAAAUUCAAACAAAGGGUAACUUUAAAAACUCUUUUGUGUCUCUUCCGUUGGUGACUGCAUUCCAAGUACGUUGUGUGAUGCAUCGUCUUACGAAAGACACCUGAAAUCACACCGAGAUAAAUAUCAGCUGCCUCCACCAGCCGGAUCGCUACAGCUUAUUAUUCAGAUGCUUCUCGUAAAUAUUUUCAUGGACUCACAUGAGCAUUGUGUUUUCGGCUGUUCGAGUUAGCUGAGCAGUAAACGCACCAUUGCGCAAUAAAACCAAACAGCGAAGGUACGCUUUUACGCACGAACCCGACGAAACCAACUGCAGGGAUAAUACCUAAAGUGUGAGUUAAACGGGGAGUUCGCAACGAGGUUUUUCAAUUCGGGUUUAUUUAGUUACAGCUUCUAACUGAAAUUGGCGGGUCAUUGUACAGCGCCAUCUAAUGCACUAGUUUGACAAAUACAGUUUAUCACAGGCGGCUGCUAAAGUGCCAUUUUUGUGUGACUCGUCUUAUUUGACUCUAGCGCUGUAAGACAGUUGAAAUUACUCCAUGUGCACUCGUUUCAGCUCCAGCCUCUGCAUGUAUUGUUAGUAAUAUUCAUGCGCCAAAACAACACUUCAACCCCUUUAAAUUCUCCACUCUGCGGUCAAAAAUAGAAAAUAAUUUUCCUUAAAUGUACACCAGGCGCCGCCACAAAGAAACACAGUCCAGAGGUAAUAAUUUAUCCACUCGGUCUUCUGUAUUUGCCACCCUGCUUUCUCAAUUGGGAAAGCUGUUCGUGCGCCCCGGAGCCACUUGUUGCCGGCGCAUAAAGUUAGAGCUUUUGAGAAGUUAAAUAUCCAGGAAGGAACACAAGUUAGUAUCUCAAGGGCUUUACGGGGACAAAAGACCAGCGCCUUAGCACCAUAUGCUUAAUGGCUACAGCCGUCUAGCCUUUAUUAAAGGCAAAAAGUGGUCCUUUAAAAGUUGGAAAGGCUCCUUUAUUUGAGUUAGAUGGAGCACUUGCGCACAAAACCAGAAGCGCGCAUUGCCAUUGACUCGGCCCCUUUCUCUUUCUUUCAGGACUCUGAAGCGGCCACCGUCAUCGCCCGUUUCACUCCAACAUAAGCUUUUCAUCACCAGGCUUUGUUCUCGGUGAAAGUAAUGCUGCGAAUCAAAGACAUGACAAUAUUUUCCAUCAGCUUGGAGACCCUGGACAAGAGCCCUCGAGCUCUGGCAAAAAUCAGGGCCGGUUAUUCAUCCUGUCAUUCCGCACCUGUGGUCCUGCAUUCAAAGUAUACAAACCUGUCCCUAUUAACAUUAAUUAUUCACAAACAACACAAAGGCUGAAAUAGAGCAGGUUGAAGUCUGUUUAUGGCUCCUAGAUGUUUUAUUCCUCUGAAGAUGUGCCCAAAGCUUUUUUUCUUCCCCUCUCUUGCAACCAAGUGUCCGUCUCUCUUUCAGUCUUGAGUAGCCCUACAGUUUGGAUUUUACAAUCGCAGCAUCUGCUUAAUCUCGGGGGAUGAAAAUAUGACACAAAACAUAGCUAAUCGAGGAUUUGUUACAUCCCGGUAAUGAGUGAUCGAAGCAAGAAACAAUGGUGCAGGACUAUGACAGCCGCAUGGUUCAGGCCCACUUGUGAUAGUUCACUCUCUUGUGGGGAAAGCACCAGGUGAUGGUAAGAAAAUCGUCGGACGAGGAGAGAACGCAGCUCUUUUCUCUCCCUAGAAAAAAUAGAAGACAUAAAUUUAAUUGGCUUAUCAAGGCGCGGCGACCAGGCCUCGCUGUUAAUUGACUGCGGGUGCACAAAACAAACGCAGGGAUGUGUUUGGCUCGUCGGGCCCGCGCUGCGCUUUUAGCCCAGUGUCACGUCAUUGAACUUGUGCUUUAUUAUUGCAAAACGUCAUGCUUUACAGUGGCCAUAUUGUAUCGUGGACAAAGGCCGAUGGAACAUUAAAGACGUGGAAAACUGUGCCAACGCCGUCUCGAACAGUGCAAGGGCCUCUCUUUUUGCUUGUUUUAAAGCAGCUGCUGUUCAGGGACUAGCAAGGAGGAAAUCAAAAGAGACAAAGUUUCAGCUACCAGGUGCAUCCUCGGAGAAAACGGCACAGACAAGACUCUGCCAGCGUGACAAAGAAAGCCACAUAAAAGAUGUCAUUUAGAGCGAAAGGUCACGUCUGAAAAGAAGCACCGGAGAACGAUCUCAGCUACCUUCCCUCAUCUCCCCAUUCAGAGCCGAGCCAGCACACACCCGCUGAGCACCUUUGACUUACCUUGCGCGCUGAUCGGCCACCUUGGCGAGUCUAUACCAGUGGAAAAGCUCAGCUUCACAGCCGGCACUCUGAUGCCAUGCUGAAAGCACAAAAGCUCAUAAUCCGGUGUAUUAGAAUGAGUCCUGGGACUUCAUUCCUCGAGCGAGAUAAUCUGCGGAUCAAGUCGAUCUGUGGUUCUUCUUUUGCGCUCACAUGCGGGCUCAAACCGGAUGUGAAAAAAUACAGCGUAUUCGACCCAUUACUCUCUCUUCUUUGUUGUGUCGGUCGGUGCUGGUAAAGUAAAGCUCCGCACUGGUGUCUUUUUAAAACAGCGCCAUAAACUGGCAGCAGACUUCUGUAUUAAUUGUUAAUUCAUUUUCAGCCUUCGGUGCCAUGAAAUAAAUAUUCAAAGCCACCCGUGCGUAACAGUGGAAGUGUCCGCUGGAUGAAGCCAUUACAUGAUCUCAGCAGACGCAAAGCCAGGAGGAUAACGGCUCACUCGUAAAUGUCCUGGCGAAAACUCUCUCUCUCUCAAAAAAAACGAACAAAAACAAAAACAAAAAACUGCUCACAGUGCUCUGUGUAGCAUGGUGUCAUCUAUUACAGCAGAGACUGUGUUCAUUACAAUUACCGAAGCCCUGCAAACCUUCAACAUUCCACUUACAGAUUCAAAGAAAACGAGCUACCAAAUAUGAGUUAGCGUACAAUAGAAAUAAUGGAUCUGUUGUUUAUGGCGACCUAUCUCAGCAGUGAUGAACACGUUCAAAAGUUUUAGUGAACCGUCUUUGCAGCUUGAUGGCUGUUCGUCUCAGAAAAUCUGAUUUUUGUGACUGAUUUAAAUGUUGGAGCUCUGGAAAGCAUCUGAUUAUUUUCUGAAUUCUGUGCUAUUCUUAGAAAUCGGUUUGUCAGACAGCUCGCUUCUACCUAGGACGACUCGCACUCGUUUGAUUUGCAGCAGGAUGUAAGAGCGCGCCGCGUGCCUGCGCUCAGUCUGCAGAUCCUUUCUCAACCAAAUCGCUAUCUGUGGCUCAGAAAGUUCAGGCCUGCGCAGAACUAAAGGAAAUCAAACUUUCCGCGCCAAGCCUGUAGUCGGAGUGACAAGAUAGCCGGGAGGAUUUAAACCUGGCUCCGACCGCACCAAACGACGCUGAGACGCGCUUUGCGUUGCGACACUAAAAAGCGCGAGCGCGACACUACAGCGUCUGAACGGACCUGCAGCUCUUGCCAAGGAGAUGAAGUUGCAUUGACCCUCUAACAUUUGACUUUCUAAUGGCUGCAGCAGGAUUACAUGCUGCUGUCGGAAGCACAGAGGAAGUGGAACAGAGGCGGAGAGAAACAGCGUAACUGUCAUUAAAAGUGGAAAAACGAAGGAAAGACGAGUUGUGCAGCUGAAGAAGAAACAAGCAUACCUGCUCUGCUGCAGGUGCCGCGGGUCC